GGCACCUGGUCUGGGGCCAUCAAUUUACAGCGGGUGACAGACGUCAGUGCUCCGGACAACCUCAGGAAGAUAACGCAACACCCUUCCCCAUCUACUUGGAAGCUGACAGGAGAAUGGGGGAAGCACCCAAGGCAGCCUUGAAAGAAAAGCUUCUCUGUGCGGCAGGUGCUCUAGCCUGGACAUGACCUUCUGCCUGGGGCCUUCCCACCUGUGGGAAUUCCUUCCGUCUUUCAGAGUACAGCCACAUGCCACCUCUUACAUGAAGCCUUCCAGUUCCCCAGCAGGUCUGGCAUCAAGCCCAGGACGGAAGGAAAUAAAUAUAGGAACC